rnacentral:ncRNA from 1 species
AUACGUCGUGCGGGAGAGAUCGUCCGCCGCCCCCUUCAAGGGUGCGCGCUGACGGCGCCGAAGGAGCAACCGCCCCGGAAACUCUCAGGCAAACGGACCGCCGACGAAG